rnacentral:tRNA from 1 species
CUCUCAUUAGGGCAGUCUGGUAGCCUACUUCUUUUGGAAAGAAGAUGUCGUUGGUUCAAAUCCAACAUGGGAGACCA